rnacentral:snRNA from 1 species
GGAUGUGAAGGCGAUCUGGCUGGGACAUCUGUCACCCCAUUGAUCUGGCCGGCUAGGCGAGUGUCCCCUUCCUCCCUCACCACUCCAUGUGCUUCCCUCCCAAAGCUGUGCGCUCAGUCAAAGAGGACGGCCUUCCCCAAAUGGAGAUAGACAGGUCUUUGGUGGAGUGUAUGUGAGUAGCUGCAUUCCCCUGCUAGAACCUCCAAACAAGUUCUCAAGGAUCCCGGUUCAAACCCCCAGCUCCCCACCUGCAGGGGAGUCGCUUCACAGGCAGUGAAGCAGGUCUGCAGGUGUCUAUCUUUCUCU